GAACCCGAUGCGGCCCCACCGCACCGGAGGGGCCUCGGGCGGCGGCGACACGAGCGCGUUCUUCGCGGUGACGCUGGUGCUGUGGGCGGUGUCGGUGGGGUUUGAGAUCGGCGUGCGGGGGCGACGCGAGCUGGCGCCCGUGGCCGCCGGGUUCGCCUUCUUCCAGGCCGCCAACGCCGCGGUCCGCGCCGCGGUCUCACGCGACCCCCUCUUCGUCAACACCGCCGUCUCUCUCCUCCACUCCUCCCUCACCUCCGUCUCCAUUAUCUUUGUUCUCGUCAACCAAUGGCGUAGUAAGGGCCUUGAGAACAUGUUUGAGCAUGAAGAACUAUUUGGUGGCAGUUGGAUUGGAGCAUAUUCUGCUCUGUGCUUCUCUUGUGGCUACUUUGCAUACGACCAAUUGGACAUGCUCCGUUACCGUCUAUACAGUGGAUGGAUUUCUGGAAUUCUCAUGCAUCACCUGAUUCUGCUAAUUUGCUUUACGCUAGCUCUCUAUAGGAAUGUCACAAUCAACUACCUAAUUCUCUCUCUUGUAUGCGAGCUGCACUCCAUAUUUUUGCAUGUAAGGAAAGUGAGGCGAAUGGCUGGAUUUCGUGAUUUCAACAGAAAAAUUGUGAAGCUGGAAUGGGUACUCAACUGGGCUACCUUUGUGACAGCAAGGGUGAUAUGCCAUAUAUUGAUUACAUAUAAACUGAUCACUGAUGCCCACAAGUUUGGUAAGGGCAUUGAGCUUCCAUUAGCUCUUUUUGGUAUGGCAGGGAUGAAUCUGCUCAACAUAUUUUUAGGGCUCGAUCUAUUUAAAGCGUAUGCACGAGAAAGAAAUCAGCAGAGGCAUCAGGACUGAAUGCACCUUCCUUGAUGGUGUACUCUAAAUUUUGACAUGGUUAUAAUUGUGCUCGCGUAAAGACAGAGAGGUAUCUUCAAGUCUUGAUUAGCCUCUACCCCGGAGCGUAACGGUUUAUGUUAUACGCAGACAGGUGAACAGGAUGGAGAGAUACUAAGAUGCCUUGUUAACUUGUAAACUGGCCCUAGAAGGCUACAAAACUCUCUUCUUUAUCUUUAUCUUUAAAAUAUGAUAAUUUCUCACUGUGAAGUAAAUCU